UGUAUAAUGGGUCAGCGACUUAUAUUCUGUAGCAAGGUUAACCGAAUAGGGGAGCCGAAGGGAAACCGAGUCUUAACUGGGCGUUAAGUUGCAGGGUAUAGACCCGAAACCCGGUGAUCUAGCCAUGGGCAGGUUGAAGGUUGGGUAACACUAACUGGAGGACCGAACCGACUAAUGUUGAAAAAUUAGCGGAUGACUUGUGGCUGGGGGUGAAAGGCCAAUCAAACCGGGAGAUAGCUGGUUCUCCCCGAAAGCUAUUUAGGUAGCGCCUCGUGAAUUCAUCUCCGGGGGUAGAGCACUGUUUCGGCAAGGGGGUCAUCCCGACUUACCAACCCGAUGCAAACUGCGAAUACCGGAGAAUGUUAUCACGGGAGACACACGGCGGGUGCUAACGUCCGUCGUGAAGAGGGAAACAACCCAGACCGCCAGCUAAGGUCCCAAAGUCAUGGUUAAGUGGGAAACGAUGUGGGAAGGCCCAGACAGCCAGGAUGUUGGCUUAGAAGCAGCCAUCAUUUAAAGAAAGCGUAAUAGCUCACUGGUCGAGUCGGCCUGCGCGGAAGAUGUAACGGGGCUAAACCAUGCACCGAAGCUGCGGCAGCGACACUGUGUGUUGUUGGGUAGGGGAGCGUUCUGUAAGCCUGUGAAGGUGUGCUGUGAGGCAUGCUGGAGGUAUCAGAAGUGCGAAUGCUGACAUAAGUAACGAUAAAGCGGGUGAAAAGCCCGCUCGCCGGAAGACCAAGGGUUCCUGUCCAACGUUAAUCGGGGCAGGGUGAGUCGACCCCUAAGGCGAGGCCGAAAGGCGUAGUCGAUGGGAAACAGGUUAAUAUUCCUGUACUUGGUGUUACUGCGAAGGGGGGACGGAGAAGGCUAUGUUGGCCGGGCGACGGUUGUCCCGGUUUAAGCGUGUAGGCUGGUUUUCCAGGCAAAUCCGGAAAACUAAGGCUGAGGCGUGAUGACGAGGCACUACGGUGCUGAAGCAACAAAUGCCCUGCUUCCAGGAAAAGCCUCUAAGCAUCAGGUAACAUUAAAUCGUACCCCAAACCGACACAGGUGGUCAGGUAGAGAAUACCAAGGCGCUUGAGAGAACUCGGGUGAAGGAACUAGGCAAAAUGGUGCCGUAACUUCGGGAGAAGGCACGCUGAUAUGUAGGUGAAGUCCCUCGCGGAUGGAGCUGAAAUCAGUCGAAGAUACCAGCUGGCUGCAACUGUUUAUUAAAAACACAGCACUGUGCAAACACGAAAGUGGACGUAUACGGUGUGACGCCUGCCCGGUGCCGGAAGGUUAAUUGAUGGGGUUAGCGGUAACGCGAAGCUCUUGAUCGAAGCCCCGGUAAACGGCGGCCGUAACUAUAACGGUCCUAAGGUAGCGAAAUUCCUUGUCGGGUAAGUUCCGACCUGCACGAAUGGCGUAAUGAUGGCCAGGCUGUCUCCACCCGAGACUCAGUGAAAUUGAACUCGCUGUGAAGAUGCAGUGUACCCGCGGCAAGACGGAAAGACCCCGUGAACCUUUACUAUAGCUUGACACUGAACAUUGAGCCUUGAUGUGUAGGAUAGGUGGGAGGCUUUGAAGUGUGGACGCCAGUCUGCAUGGAGCCGGCCUUGAAAUACCACCCUUUAAUGUUUGAUGUUCUAACGUUGGCCCCUGAUCGGGGUUGCGGACAGUGUCUGGUGGGUAGUUUGACUGGGGCGGUCUCCUCCUAAAGAGUAACGGAGGAGCACGAAGGUUGGCUAAUCCUGGUCGGACAUCAGGAGGUUAGUGCAAUGGCAUAAGCCAGCUUGACUGCGAGCGUGACGGCGCGAGCAGGUGCGAAAGCAGGUCAUAGUGAUCCGGUGGUUCUGAAUGGAAGGGCCAUCGCUCAACGGAUAAAAGGUACUCCGGGGAUAACAGGCUGAUACCGCCCAAGAGUUCAUAUCGACGGCGGUGUUUGGCACCUCGAUGUCGGCUCAUCACAUCCUGGGGCUGAAGUAGGUCCCAAGGGUAUGGCUGUUCGCCAUUUAAAGUGGUACGCGAGCUGGGUUUAGAACGUCGUGAGACAGUUCGGUCCCUAUCUGCCGUGGGCGCUGGAGAACUGAGGGGGGCUGCUCCUAGUACGAGAGGACCGGAGUGGACGCAUCACUGGUGUUCGGGUUGUCAUGCCAAUGGCACUGCCCGGUAGCUAAAUGCGGAAGAGAUAAGUGCUGAAAGCAUCUAAGCACGAAACUUGCCCCGAGAUG
rnacentral:rRNA from 1 species